rnacentral:tRNA from 1 species
CCGCGCGUAGCUCAGCUGGAUAGAGCGUCGGACUACGAAUCCGAAGGUCAUAGGUUCGAAUCCUUUCGCGCGGGCCA